CCGGCCUUCUUGGAACAUAUUCUUUAUAAUCCUGACAGGAAUAACAAACGGAGCUCAUCAAUCUGUUGUUGAAACCUUAAAAUCUUUGGGUCAAACUGAGG